CAUGCAAGUCGAACGAAGUAGCAAUACUUAGUGGCAGACGGGUGAGUAACAUGUGGGUAUCUACCCUUUGGCCUGGAAUAACACGAGGAAACUUGUGCUAAUACCGGAUAAGUCUUUACGGAGAAAGCUUUAUGCACCAUUGGAUGAGCCCGCACUUGAUUAGUUUGUUGGUAGGGUAAUGGCCUACCAAGACUAUGAUCAAUAGCUGAUUUGAGAGGAUGAUCAGCCACAUUGGGACUGAGACACGGCCCAAACUCCUACGGGAGGCAGCAGUGGGGAAUCUUGCACAAUGGAGGAAACUCUGAUGCAGCGAUGCCGCGUGAGUGAAGAAGGCCCUUGGGUUGUAAAGCUCUUUCGUCGGGGAAGAAAAUGACUGUACCCGAAUAAGAAGGUCCGGCUAACUUCGUGCCAGCAGCCGCGGUAAUACGAAGGGACCUAGCGUAGUUCGGAAUUACUGGGCUUAAAGAGUUCGUAGGUGGUUGAAAAAGUUGGUGGUGAAAUCCCAGAGCUUAACUCUGGAACUGCCAUCAAAACUUUUCAGCUAGAGUAUGAUAGAGGAAAGCAGAAUUUCUAGUGUAGAGGUGAAAUUCGUAGAUAUUAGAAAGAAUACCAAUUGCGAAGGCAGCUUUCUGGAUCAUUACUGACACUGAGGAACGAAAGCAUGGGUAGCGAAGAGGAUUAGAUACCCUCGUAGUCCAUGCCGUAAACGAUGUGUGUUAGACGUUGGAAAUUUAUUUUCAGUGUCGCAGCGAAAGCGAUAAACAC
rnacentral:rRNA from 1 species